rnacentral:rRNA from 1 species
AACGAACGCUGGCGGCAUGCCUAACACAUGCAAGUCGAACGAGAUCUUCGGGUCUAGUGGCGCACGGGUGCGUAACGCGUGGGAAUCUGCCCUUUGGUUCGGAGUAACAGUUGGAAACGACUGCUAAUACCGGAUGAUGACGAAAGUCCAAAGAUUUAUCGCCAGAGGAUGAGCCCGUGUAGGAUUAGCUAGUUGGUGUGGUAAAGGCGCACCAAGGCGACGAUCCUUAGCUGGUCUGAGAGGAUGAUCAGCCACACUGGGACUGAGACACGGCCCAGACUCCUACGGGAGGCAGCAGUGGGGAAUAUUGGACAAUGGGCGAAAGCCUGAUCCAGCAAUGCCGCGUGAGGGAUGACGGCCUUCGGGUUGUAAACCACUUUUAUUUGGUCAUAUGACCUUUUGAAUAAGCAACUACUAAUUAUGUGCCAGCAGCCGCAGUAA